AGAGUUUGAUCCUGGCUCAGGAUGAACGCUAGCGGCAGGCCUAACACAUGCAAGUCGCGGGGCAGCACGGGUAGCAAUACCUGGUGGCGACCGGCGCACGGGUGCGUAACGCGUAUGCAACCUGCCCCCAUCAGGGGAAUAGCCCGCCGAAAGGCGGAUUAAUGCCCCAUAGGCCCAGGGCGCCGCAUGGCGCUAGUGGGUAAAGCUCCGGCGGAUGGGGAUGGGCAUGCGUGCCAUUAGCUAGGUUGGGCGGUAACGGCGCACCAAGGCGACGAUGGCGUAGGGGUCUGAGAGGAUCGGUCCCCCACACUGGUACUGAGACACGGACCAGACUCCUACGGGAGGCAGCAGUGAGGAAUAUUGGUCAAGUGGGCGGAAGCCUGAACCAGCCAUGCCCGCGUGCAGGAUGACCGGCCCGUUACGGGUUAGUAAACUGUCCGUUUUCCCCGGGGAAAGAAUAACGCCCCUCGUGGAGGGGUGAUGCCGGUACCGGGGGAAUAAGGAUCGGCUAACUCCGUGCCAGCAGCUGC
rnacentral:rRNA from 1 species